rnacentral:lncRNA from 1 species
CUUCAGUCUUUUCCACAUUAUAAUUUCGAAUAUCCCUUAAUUUCUUCUUGUUGAUCAGUUUGACAGUUCAGCGUAUUCUAUCUUAUCUCUCGAGUUUGUCCUUUCAUGUUUUGUCGUUUCUUUAUUAGGUCUUUUGUUACUUGGGAGAGCUUACCUACUGGUUGCCUUGGUGCGUUAUCUCCCACUUCAAUUGCUUCUUCUGAGAUCAGCCUACUUACGGUUUCAUUCAUUACCUCAAUGUGGUCUUCAUUUUCCUGUUCUAAAACGCCAUAUUUGUUUGCGAGCACCAGCCUGAAUUGGUCUGCUUUUACCCUUACUGCGUCUAGGUUGGCCUGUUUCUUCUU